rnacentral:rRNA from 1 species
AAAGGAAUUGACGGGCCCGCCACAAGACGGCGGAGCAUGCGGAGUUAAUUUACGUAUGCAACGACGUAGAACCUACCUGGGUUUGUACAUGGAUCGGGAGUGCUCAGAGAUGGGUGUGCCUCUUUGGGUCGGUUCACAGGUGGUGCAUGGCUGUCGUCAGCUCGUGUCGUGAGAUGUUGGGUUAAGUCCCGCAACGAGCGCUGUCGACGCGGC